GUCUAUGGCCAUGCCACCCUGAACAAGUCCGAUGUCUGAUCUCAGAAGCUAAGCUGACUCAGGCCUGGUUAGUACUUGGAUGGGAGAUCACCUAGGAAGACCAGGUGCUAUAGGCA
rnacentral:rRNA from 1 species